UAUUCACGAUGAUGUUGUGUCUAAAAGUCUACUGAAAAUAAAUGUAUAUAUUUGGACAUAUGACACGUACAUAAAUUUAUUUAUUAUACAAUGAUUUAUCGUCAAAAUAUUAAUAGAGGUAUGAGAUUAAGUAUAUUUAGAUAACAAAUAAAAAUAAGAAAUAUAAUUAUAUUUUAUUGGAAAUAAUUUUAGGAGAAAUAUGAUGGAUCAAAGGCUCUUACAUCGAAAUAUAUUUUCGGUGUGGCUACGGAAUUACUAUGAACCAGGCCACUGUUGUGACGGCUAUAAUUUGGGAGGAGAAAUAAUCUCAUCAUUUUGUCGAUGAGCAUAUAUACUUCAACCUCAUUGAAGGUAAUAGAUGGAUCAUUAGGAUGCCUUCCAUCCAAGUCGACGGAUAUCAGGGAUUACUCACCCAUAAAGCUUUAAUCCAUACGGGCUGUCCGUAUAUAUACGGUCCUCCGGUUAGUAAAUGAUUUAAUUUUCUUUAAUUUCUAUUAUGUAUCAAAUAUUGUUUACUAAUUGAAUUUAUUAUUUCUAUUUAUUUCUGUAGCUCAUUAUCCGAGAGAUUAAUUCUCAAUUUUGUGGUGGUAGACGUGUAUUUUCAGUAUUUUCAUACCUAUGUAUUUGUGGUAAUUAGACAGAUCUUUGUAAGUUUAGUUGUGGUGAUUAGACGGAUCUUCGAGUAUUUUCAGACCUAUAUAUUUCCCACAUGAAAUACCCGGAUAUUUUAUUAUUGGAGUGCCUUUUCUCAGAAAAUAUCAUACGAUAUUUGAUUUUGGGCACCACCAAAUCGGAUUUUCUCUCGCCACUUCCGGCUACGACGACGUGAACGACGAGGACGGUGUGGACGACGUGAACGACGAGAACGGUGUGGACGACUUGGAAAGACUCGUUCACUCAUGGACAUUAUGAUGCAGCGCAUCACAUCUUUACUUUAAGCUUUGUUUUUUUUUUUUGGUAAGAACUAAUUAAGCUUUUUAUUUUUUUUCUUUGGUAAUGAGAAUUAAUUAAGCUUUUAAGACCUUUUAAUAUUUGAUGUCAU